rnacentral:rRNA from 1 species
UACGAAGGGGGGCUAGCGUUGUUCGGAUUUACUGGGCGUAAAGAGCUCGUAGGCGGUCUGUCGCGUCGGCUGUGAAAACUCGGGGCUCAACCCCGAGCCUGCAGUCGAUACGGGCAGACUAGAGUGCUGUAGGGGAGACUGGAAUUCCUGGUGUAGCGGUGAAAAUGCGCAGAUAUCGGAAGGAACAUCAGUGGCGAAGGCGACUUCCUGGACCAAUACUGACGUCAGGU